AUGCCCCAAGAGGUUGAAAUGGGAAGAAGAGCUGCAGACAGCGAUAUGCACUGUGUUCCUACUGGGUGCUGUCAGGCCUGUGUGGGCUUCAACAAUGUGGCAGUGACUUCCACCCAGGCUGCUCACAUCCUGUGCAGGAGUCAGUCUGUAUUAGUACACAGCAGAGACACGAGGGUCCCCACUCAGCUCCUGGGGCUCCUGUUGCUCUGGCUCUCAGACAGCAGAUGUGACAUCCAGAUGACUCAGUCUCCAUCUUCCUGGUCUGCAUCUCUUGGAGACAGAGUUGCCAUCAUUUGCACAGCCAGUCAGAAUAUUUACAGCUACUUGUCCUGGUAUCAACAGAAACCAGACGAACCUCUCAAGCUCUUGAUCUACGUUGCAAGCAAUUUGGCAUCUGUGAUCCAAUCGAGGUUCAGUGGCAGCAGAUCUGGGACAGAUGUUGCCCUUACCAUCAGCAGUGUGGAGGCUGAAGAUGUUGCAACUUAUUACUGUCAGCAGCAUUACAGAACCCCUCCCACAGUGAUACAAGCCAUAGCAAAAACCACACAGGGAAGCGGAUGUGUGAGGCUGGGCUGUCCCAGCUGCUCUUCUUGUUGUCUGCACCUUUGA